UACGUAGGUGACCAGCGUUGUCCGGAUUUACUGGGCGUAAAGAGCGCGCAGGCGGUCGUUCAAGUCGAGUGUGAAAGCCCCCGGCUCAACUGGGGAGGGUCACGCGAUACUGAUCGACUCGAAGGCAGGAGAGGGAAGUGGAAUUCCCGGUGUAGUGGUGAAAUGCGUAGAUAUCGGGAGGAACACCAGUGGCGAAGGCGACUUCCUGGCCUGUUCUUGACGCUGAGGCGCGAAAGCUAGGGGAGCAAACGGG
rnacentral:rRNA from 1 species